rnacentral:misc_RNA from 1 species
UCGUAACAAGGUCUCCGUUGGUGAACCAGCGGAGGGAUCAUUACCGAGUUUACAACUCCCAAACCCCUGUGAACAUACCACUUGUUGCCUCGGCGGAUCAGCCCGCUCCCGGUAAAACGGGACGGCCCGCCAGAGGACCCCUAAACUCUGUUUCUAUAUGUAACUUCUGAGUAAAACCAUAAAUAAAUCAAAACUUUCAACAACGGAUCUCUUGGUUCUGGCAUCGAUGAAGAACGCAGCAAAAUGCGAUAAGUAAUGUGAAUUGCAGAAUUCAGUGAAUCAUCGAAUCUUUGAACGCACAUUGCGCCCGCCAGUAUUCUGGCGGGCAUGCCUGUUCGAGCGUCAUUUCAACCCUCAAGCACAGCUUGGUGUUGGGACUCGCGUUAAUUCGCGUUCCUCAAAUUGAUUGGCGGUCACGUCGAGCUUCCAUAGCGUAGUAGUAAAACCCUCGUUACUGGUAAUCGUCGCGGCCACGCCGUUAAACCCCAACUUCUGAAUGUUGACCUCGGAUCAGGUAGGAAUACCCGCUGAACUUAAGCAUAUCAAUAA